rnacentral:rRNA from 1 species
UCGGCAACGGAUAUCUCGGCUCUCGCAUCGAUGAAGAACGUAGCGAAAUGCGAUACUUGGUGUGAAUUGCAGAAUCCCGUGAACCAUCGAGUCUUUGAACGCAAGUUGCGCCUUAAGCCACCAGAGCUGAGGGCACGCCUGCCUGGGCGCCACGC